rnacentral:rRNA from 1 species
UAAGAGGUCCAGCCUGCCCAGUGACAUUUUUAACGGCCGCGGUACUCUGACCGUGCGAAGGUAGCAUAAUCACUUGUUCUUUAAAUGGGGACUAGUAUCAACGGCAUCACGAGGAUUUUACUGUCUCCUUUUUCUAAUCAGUGAAACUGAUCCCCCCGUGAAGAAGCGGGGAUAACACUAUAAGACGAGAAGACCCCAUGGAGCUUUAAACCCAGCUUCAUCUCAAACUUUUCCACCCCCUAAAAGUUUUUAUGCAUUGUUUGCUGGUUUUAGGUUGGGGCGACCGCGGAGUAUAACUUAACCUCCACAGCGCACGGAACUUCUUCCUUAUCUAAGAGCCACAUCUCGAAGAAUCAACAAAUUGACGUAAAAUGAUCCAAUAACUUUGAUUAAUGAACCAAGUUACCCUGGGGAUAACAGCGCAAUCCAUUUUUAGAGCUCCUAUCGACAAAUGGGUUUACGACCUCGAUGUUGGAUCAGGGUAUCCUAGUGGUGCAGCCGCUACUAAAGGUUUGUUUGUUCAACAAUUAAA